CCUACGGGAGGCAGCAGUGGGGAAUAUUGCACAAUGGGCGAAAGCCUGAUGCAGCGACGCCGCGUGAGGGAUGACGGCCUUCGGGUUGUAAACCUCUUUCAGCAGGGAAGAAGCGAAAGUGACGGUACCUGCAGAAGAAGCGCCGGCUAACUACGUGCCAGCAGCCGCGGUAAUACGUAGGGCGCAAGCGUUGUCCGGAAUUAUUGGGCGUAAAGAGCUCGUAGGCGGCUUGUCACGUCGGGUGUGAAACGCCCGGGGUCUUAACCCCGGGUCUGCAUUCGAUACGGGCUAGCUAGAGUGUGGUAGGGGAGAUCGGAAUUCCUGGUGUAGCGGUGAAAUGCGCAGAUAUCAGGAGGAACACCGGUGGCGAAGGCGGAUCUCUGGGCCAUUACUGACGCUGAGGAGCGAAAGCGUGGGGAGCGAACAGGAUUAGAUACCCUGGUAGUCCACGCCGUAAACGGUGGGAACUAGGUGUUGGCGACAUUCCACGUCGUCGGUGCCGCAGCUAACGCAUUAAGUUCCCCGCUGGGAGUACGGCCGCAAGGCUAAACUACAGAAUUGACGG
rnacentral:rRNA from 1 species